CUAAUAUAUUGUGAACACAAUAGACAGUGUGGGCUCUGUAAGAUGAAUGUUUUUCUGCAUGCAAGCUGCAACUAAAAGGGCUAUUUUUCCCUUUCAUUAAUCUAGAAUAAAUAAUGGUUAUAAUAUUACAUAACUCUUGCCUUAUCUCUGGCAGUUUCUUCGUGCUGAAAUAGGAGAUUGCUGCAGUAUGCAGCACAGCUUCUCAGUGUGCUCUGUAUGAGAGACAGAAAGGGAGUCAUUCAUGCUGGAAAAUAUCUGGCAAAAUUUCAAAGUUGCUUCCCCUUUAAUAAUUCUUAAACAUGGCUAUGAUGUGUUCCUGAAAUUUUAAAUACAGUUAGAUGUACAUUUCUGUUCACUGUUAGUGAAUUAUCCUCCCACCCCACCCCCCUCCCCCCCCCCCCCCCCCCCCCCCCCCCCCCCCCCCGUAUAGCUUCCGGUGGUUCAAGACUAGUGUGAUUCUAAACGGAAGUACAGCAAAAUCUAGUUAUCAUUUCUGGAAUCUACAAAAUCCUUAGGCUGAGCAGACUUUUGUGACACAUGACUUAUGAAGCGCAAUGCAAUACACAGAACAGGAGCAACUUACCUCUGAUAGACCUGACAUGACAGGCAAGAGAGAGAAGUUUGAGCAGAAGUUUGAGCAGCCAACAGCCACUUCCAUUUUUCUAGGACCCUCCCUAGCAAAGCAAUGUGGAGAUAAGUAUUUCUCCUCCCAGCAAGUUCAGCUCCUUGAGGAAGGCUGAGGCAGCCCUGCCAGCUCCAGAUCUCAGCAGCUGCGGUUGCAGGCCAGGCAGCUGCGUGGCCCUGUGGCCCUCCCCAGCACAAUGCCUGGCAGGCAGCAGCCUCAGUGGCUGCUUCUGGCUUCUGCUCAGCUGACAAUAUCUAAAUCAAAGUGCUCUGACGGGGCCUGGACCAAAGCUGGACACAACAGGCCGCUCGGCACUUUCACAAGCAAAGCCACCUGGAUGUUGAAACAGACCUGAGGGUCCUAACGUCGGAUAUUCAGGGAAGGCACCUCAGGCUCGCCACUCCAACUUUGCUUAACAGGAGCAGACUUGGGUCAAAGGCUGACUGCUAUGGAAGACACAGCUCUGAUAUUUGAAAACCUAAGCAUGAGUUUCCAGUGCUGGAAUGUCACCACCUGCACUUUAUAUAACAAAUUAAACUGAAUUGUGACAGCACUCACAUGAUAAUUUUGACUUACUAGCUCCUUUGUCUACAUUUUGUAGUUCCUUGAGUAGCUAUACAGCUACACAAAACCAAAAUGUAAUAGAUAUCCUAAGAAAAAAAAAAAAAUAAAUCCCUGCUCACAGAGUGCUGUUUGAUUUGCUUGUGGUUUUUGAACUGUAGUACAAAAGAACCAGAGAGCUAUUUUUUUUUUUUUUAAACAUGCCGUGGCAUCUCAUUGUGAAAUACCUAUAAUACCUAGAAGAUGCUUCUUUGUGUUUCUUAUGACCAAAUGAUAGGUGGGCUACAGAGAUGUGAUGUGAUAAGGACAGUCAUCCUGCUACAAAUGAUUCUACUAAAUUACCUGUACUUUUAUUCCAAUUAACUGCCUGAACUAAAAAGUUAGCAAGUAUGCUACCAUUGGCCAAAAAUACCCAGCCUUCAUUCAGCUGACUUGUUUUAAUGACAGAGACACCUGUGCUGAAUUCUCAAACAGCAGUCAAUCUACGGCGUUUGUUAGAUCCCUAAAAGCAUACAGGAUAAAAGAAACCAAUAACUGAGACUGAGCACAAGGCUUUAUAAUGGACUCAGUAUGCCUCACACUCCUUGGGCCACCUAUGUGACUUGAGUCUUUUCCAAAUAUAUUACUACAAAAUCCUCCAGGCAUCCUUUCAGACCCCAGAAGCCUGUAGAAACUCUUGGAUCUUUUGCCAGAUCCCACAAACCUGUAGAUAUCCUGGUUGUUUUGUUUUGACAUGUGGAUUAAUUCUUACUCUUUUUGCAUUGAUUUACCUACAUUUUAAAAAGCAUAUUAAUAUUCAGAGAAGGAGGAAAACCAAAUAAGACAGAAACAUUGUCUAUUAAUAAAUUUUGAUGGAUCCGCGUAGUCCAUUUCUUUCAGUUAUGCCUGUCAGUCUUCAAAUGUGAUAUUUUUUUCCAUGUGGUCUGUGUCAACUUAGCUUACAUACUACAAAGAUCUUCACUGAAAGGAAAGGGGAAGGAAACAAAACUACUCAUGACUUCUAAUCAGAUGGAAAAACAAAAGCAAAACAAAACAAAAAAUAUUAACACCUAACAUACCUUACUGACACUACAUAGAAUUGAACUGAAUAUCAACAGGAGGUAGAUUACAUAUGUGCAAGUAGGUAAGUAGGUUUCUGGUUAAGUUGUCCUGUGGGCAGUAUUCUCUAAUAAUCCCACAAUACUCUUACAGGUCAGUGGUCUUUCUAAGUGAAUAUAAUGCUUUCAUAUUUUAAGGUUUUAAAAUGCAUUAAGAAUACUUUAUCCUUUAAAACUAGAAGUCUUAAAAUCACAAUAAAACACAUAAUUGCUAGAUUUGGCAGAAGUCCUGGA
rnacentral:lncRNA from 1 species